GAUGAACGCUGGCGGCGUGCCUAAUACAUGCAAGUCGAGCGAACAGACGAGGAGCUUGCUCCUCUGACGUUAGCCGCGGACGGGUGAGUAACACGUGGAUAACCUACCUAUAAGACUGGGAUAACUUCGGGAAACCGGAGCUAAUACCGGAUAACCUGUGGAACCGCAUGGUUCAACAGUGAAAGACGGUCUUGCUGUCACUUAUAGCUGGAUCCGCGCCGCAUUAGCUAGUUGGUAAGGUAACGGCUUACCAAGGCAACGAUGCGUAGCCGACCUGAGAGGGUGAUCGGCCACACUGGAACUGAGACCCGGGCCAGACUCCGACGGGAGGCAGCAGUAGGGAAUCUUCCGCGAGGGGCGAAAGCCUGACGGAGCGACGCCGCGGGAGUGAAGAAGGCCUGCGGAUCGGAAGACUCUGUUAUUAGGGAAGAACAAAUGUGUAAGUAACUAUGCACGUCUUGACGGUACCUAAUCAGAGAGCCACGGCUAACUACGGU
rnacentral:rRNA from 1 species